UCGGGAAUUUUGGGCAAUGGGCGAAAGCCUGACCCAGCAACGCCGCGUGAAGGAUGAAGUAUUUCGGUAUGUAAACUUCGAAAGAAUAGGAAGAAUAAAUGACGGUACUAUUUAUAAGGUCCGGCUAACUACGUGCCAGCAGCCGCGGUAAUACGUAGGGACCAAGCGUUGUUCGGAUUUACUGGGCGUAAAGGGCGCGUAGGCGGCAAUUCAAGUCAUCUGUGAAAUCUCCGGGCUUAACUCGGAACGGUCAGAUGAUACUGCUUUGCUAGAGUGCAGAAGGGGCAAUCGGAAUUCUUGGUGUAGCGGUGAAAUGCGUAGAUAUCAAGAGGAACACCUGAGGUGAAGACGGGUUGCUGGGCUGACACUGACGCUGAGGCGCGAAAAGCCAGGGGAGCAAACGGGAUUAGAUACCCCCGUAGUCCCUGAGCGGGCUGGCAAGGCGCAU
rnacentral:rRNA from 1 species